rnacentral:rRNA from 1 species
UACGUAGGGGGCAAGCGUUGUCCGGAUUUAUUGGGCGUAAAGAGCGUGUAGGCGGCCAGGUAGGUCUGCUGUGAAAACUCGAGGCUCAACCUCGAGAUGUCGGCGGAAACCAUCUGGCUAGAGUCCGGAAGAGGAAAGUGGAAUUCCCGGUGUAGCGGUGGAAAUGCGCAGAUAUCGGGAAGAACACCCGUGGCGAAGGCGGCUUUCUGGGACGGUACUGACGCUGAGACGCGAAAGCGUGGGGAGCGAACAGG